AUGUCGGCCGCCGCCGGCAAGCCAUCCCGGUCUGCCUCUGCCAUCAUUGCCUCCACAGCGAGCGGGUACCACCUCCUCAAGAUCGAUGGCUACUCCCGCACCAAGGGCAUCCCCACCGGAGAAAGGAUAAAGUCCCGCCCUUUCACCCUUGGAGGACAUCGAUGGUACAUCGUUUACCAUCCCAACGGCUCCGGACAACAGUACGCAGACUGCAUAUCCCUGUUCCUCGUUCUCGAUGAAGAUGUCACCACGGCAGUGAAGGCGCAACACAAAUUCAGUUUCGCGGAUGAGUUGACGGACCAAGCUCCUUCAUUUGCAUCAGUAGCAGUACACAACCACAAUUCUCAGCAGCGCUGGGGGAAUGCGAUGUUCAUGAAAAGGGCAGACUUGGAGAAGUCGAAGCAUCUCAAGGACGAUUGUUUCACCAUCAGGUGCGAUAUCGUUGUCAUCAGCGACUACCGCGCAGAGGAUUUGCCCGAAGAGACUCCUCCAGCAUUUGUCACUGUGGCCCCAUCUGACCUGCACCAACACCUCGGAGAUCUCCUCAACACUGAGAAGGGUGCCGACGUAGUCUUCGAGGUUGGUGGUCACACGUUCGCAGCACACCGCUGUGUGCUCGCUGCCCGAUCACCAUUCUUCAGUGCUGAGCUCUUUGGCGGUAUGGAGGGCGACACCGCAGGUGUGGUGCGCAUAGAUGAAAUGGAGGCGCAGGUGUUCAAGGCGUUGCUCUGUUUUGCGUAUACCGACUCCUUACCGGUGACACUAAAGGAAGAUGAAGAUGUCGUGUGUCAGCAUCUGCUUGUUGCGGCCGACAGGUAUAACAUGGAGAGGCUGAAGAGUAUUUGCGAGGAAAAGCUAUGCAAGUACAUCAACGCAGGCACAAUAACAAACAUCCUGACAUUAGCUGAGCAGCACCACUGUGAGGGCCUAAAGAAGGCAUGCUUAAGUUUUCUUAGCUCCCCGGCAAAUCUUAGGGCUCUGUUGGACAGCGACGGCUUCGAUCAUCUGAGCAGGAGCUACCCUUCUGUUAUUAAGAAUCUGAUUGCCAUGUCAGCCCUUGUUUAG
rnacentral:rRNA from 1 species